AAAUUAUGUCAAGAGCACAAGGCUAGAGGUGUUCACGGUCCAAGGAGAUGCUUGGACCGUAAACACCAUAAAUGACACCAAAGUGUGCCUAAGCCUCUAAUCUAAGUCCUAGUUGAUGUAUAAACCAUCCUUGACAUGUUUAAACCUUUCCUUAUUGUUUUUAAGCCUUGAAAAACAUCAAAAACCAACAAUUAUAGGUGUUUACGGUUUGGGGAUCUCCCAAAACCGUAAACACCCUAAAGUGGGUUUAAGUUAGUCAUUUUCCUUCCUUAGGCUUAGAACCUAGCUUAUACACUUACCUAGUUGUGUUAAGGACUUGAAAACAUGGCUAUACCCUUCUCCAUGAGGGUUUACGGUAGUAAACCCAAAGGGAAAAGUCCAUGAGACCGUAAACUCCUCCAAGGAGUGUUUUUGAGGUCCUAGUCCCUUCCAAAGGCCAAACCACUUAGUAGAAAUGCUUCAAUAGGCUUGCUAAACCACAAAACAAAACUUGGUCAUUAAGACUAGAGUUUACGACCGUAAACUCUAGAGUUUACUGCCGUAAACUCCCUUGGUCUUGACCAUCAAAACUGUAAACUCCAACGGAGUUUACCCUAGAACUCUAAACACACUAGCUUUGCCCUAUCAACACUCGGAUGCAAUCCGUGUGAUUUUUAACACUUGAAACAAAGUGUUCUCAUGUUCUAGGGUGUCCCAACUUAAUUUAUUAGUUAUAAAUUGGCUAAUUAGUUAUAUAUAUGUUCAUUAUAUGAUAACUAGACUUGUGCGUGUGUACAAGUCUUCAUUUGUCACCUAGCACCGUACCCAACACUUCAAUCCCAUCCAGUCACCACAAGUGAGUUCAUACCCCUUUAACUAACCUUUGAAAUACUUUUAAAUGUUGUAAGUGCUUUAAUAGGGGGGAAUACAAGUUGAAUACUUAUAGUUAUUACAUCAAUCACAUGUGAUUAAUAACUACAAAACCAAUGAUUUUAUUACUAUUCAAACUGUUUAUCAAACUGUUUUACUUCAAACUACUUUACAAACUCUUUUACUUAUCCGAUGCUUUUACUUAACCUUUGUUAUACUUAUUAUAAAUUGCAAGCCCGUAUAUAUAUAGUUAUAUAAGCAAUGUUUAAAAGGCUUAGGAAGGCUGCACGCCCUAUUUCCUUUUCCUCGAUUUGGAUGUGGUCUGGUGGGAUAUCGGAUAGCCGUCCGAAGGUCGUUUAAAUAUUAAUUAUAUAUCAUGUGUACAUAUAUAGUCAUAAAAGUUCUUCCAUAUUCAUACGUACUAGUUACAUCAUUAGUAAGUUACCAUCGGGGUAACAUAGGAUCAUACUUAUACUAUUGCUAGAUCAAUGAGUCAGUUCAUUCAUGAGUCAGUACUUAUUACUAUGAGAGCUUAUACAAAUAUACUAGAAGAAGAACAUAUACAACUAUACUAGAAGGAGAACAUAUACAACUAUACUAGAAGAAGAACAUAUACAACUAUACUAGAAGAAGAACAUAUACAACUAUACUAGGAGAACAUAUACAACUAUAUUAGAAGAAGAACAUAUACAACUAUACUAGAAGAAGAACAUAUACAACUAUACUAGAAGGAGAACAUAUACAACUAUACUAGAAAGAGAAUAUAUACAACAAUACUAGAACGAGUAACAUUAGAUUACAUAUACAUGAAUACGUUAACAAUUAUGAUCCACUGUAUCGGAGCAUGACUUCAAUGUCGGCCCGAGUUAUAGCCAGAGUCUCUUGAAGGGAGAGCGUGAGUUUGCGUAUAGAUCUAUACUGGAUUGACUAUCCUACACCUUGCUGAUAGCUACAGCCGGACCUGUAGGUCUGCAGGUGCUAAACGUCAUUUCUUUUUACGACCUACAUUAGUUGUUGUUACCCAGUCGAUAGUAUGGUACAAUUAAGCACAUGAUACCUUAAUAUAAAUCCGGUUUAAGGUAGUUAGUACAGUAUUAGUUCCUAUAAUACAACACUACAGUACUACAAUAAUUUACCCUUUACAUAUAUUUAGUGAUUAUUUCACUUAGACAUUAAUGUACAAACUAUAUUUUGUUAAUAAUAGUUACACUUGGGAAAUUACACAAUAAACGAACAUACAAAACAAAUACGCCUUGGUAGAAGGCUACUUUAAUAGAAAAUAUAGGUUUUUCUAAGAGAUUCUAACUUUUACAAACACUUACAAACAUUCACAUACCUUUUACAAACUCAUACUUAAAACCAUGUUCAAACGUUUUGAUACAAACACCGACACUAAAAUACUUAUGAACUCAGCAGCUUAAUGCUGAUAAAUUCUUUCAAAAUAACUUGUAUUCUCAGGUCGUUAGUAGACAGGUACCGAGGCCAGCUUUUGAGAAGAUGGAGCACAUCCAAGACUCAUCUUAUUAUUUUGAUUUACUUUUUGAUGUCUAUAACUAUACGGAACACACUUGUAUUAAAAUUAUAUAUUUAAUGCAAUGGAUGAUGUUGUUUGCUUAUUUACUGUUAUACUGUGUUGUGAUCCUUUACAUGACGUCCUCCGCCCUAGAACGUUUUCGCCGUUCUUGGUUUUGGGGUGUGACAGAUUGGUAUCAGAGCAUUGUUUAUAGUGAAUUGAGUAUAUCAACCCAUAAAAGAUAUACUAACUAUAAACCCAUUUGGGAUUAAACCACUCUGACCAAGAGUCUAUACUUUAAAUAUUAAAAUAUUUAAUUAAGUAUACUAGUUUGCAUUCAUACUAAAAUCAGUGUCACAAUGACAAGAUCAAAAGUAUUACGAUUGUUAAAUAUCACAAGUGAGCUCGGGGAUGUAUGGUCAGUCCUGGGAAUGGCAUAGCCUGAUCAACUAUGCUGGUCCGAUGAGUGAUUAGCAUAUGCCCUAGAAGGGUUGUGAUAUGUUAACAAGUCUAAAAACAUACCAACAAUACCACAAGGAGAACCGUAGAACCUAAACUUAAAAUAUUAUAGGGGUAUUUUGUGCUACUACAAGUUAUUUAAACACUAGAUUCUUAUACCUCUCUUCUCGCAUAGAUUAAAUGGCUGGAUUCCAUCAUGGCGACCCGUACUUUCCAAAUGAAGGCAAUGUUGGGUGGAUCAAAGAAGAGCCCGAAGAUGAGCAUCCAAUCCCUUUGGAUGAUCACCUCGCGGAAGGCUUUUUUGAUGGAUCCGACUCUGAGCCUGAACUCAACAACCUAUCGCCAGUAGGUCAAGUCCCAAACAACAACCCCCGACCAGCUUUUCCAGGUCCUACACCUUUGUGGGCAACCAACUUGAAUUGUUGGAGUGAUGAAUAGGGUCAACCCUUACCUUACUUUGGGGACUGAAGCUAUUACAACCUCAGCGAAGGUGGCUCUGCGGAUUGAGCUCUGCCCGUCAUUAUUUGCAGGAUAGCUCGUAAUGGUGAACAAGGUCGAGCAGCUAUCGAUCGAGUCAUGGAGAUUGAUGCCAACUCUGGUGUCAACAUAGUCCGCAUCCGCCGUCUGGAAGAAGAAAUGGAACACACCAGGAGAACCAAUGAGACCCUGCAGCAACAGCUGGCUGCCUCCUGAGCCGAAGUCAUGGAACUUCGAGCCCGUCAGAGGGCUCAUGAGCCACACCUUCAAGAGGUGUUUUAUCAAGUGACAGUCCUCAGGGUUCGCCCAAGGAAUUCCCAUCGCCAUUAGAAGAUGUCUAGUACAUCUUUAUCUUUUGGUUAAUGAUUAGCCUUUAAUAUCUGUGCUCUAAGUAGCACUUGUCUGUAAAAUAUUCCUAACUAUCAGUACUCUAAUCAGGAAUCUAGGAACUAUCAAACUUUCCACAUGGUAUGAUGUAAGUGAUGGGUUUUGAGCAUUCUAACACUUCCUAAGUGUACAUGCAACCCUAAUAACCUUGGAUCUAUGUUUGUCCAAUUAUCAUGCAAAGUUGAUUUCCAAGGCUAUGAUCCGAUCUAGCAUACGUGGGGAACAAUUUUAACAUAAAUAAUAGAUAGAACUACAUACCUUGUGGUUGGAAAUGUUCCUUGAAACCUUGUGAGCCUAGCACCCCAAGUGUGAUGCCUCAAAUGCUUCACUCAACACCAAAUGCUAUGAAGUAAACUUGGAGAGAAUGUAUAACACACUAAAAUCAGCCAAGCCCUCUUGUCUCACUAGUAGUCCCGAUUUUGGGAGAACACAUGACCUUUAUAUAAUGUUGACACAUCUAGGGUUACACCAUGUAAACCCUAAUGUGUCAUGACUCUUCAUUUCCAUGACCCAUGGGUUUGUAACUCCCAUGGAGCCUCCAUGGAGCAUCCAAUGGGUUUAACCCAACUUGAUUAUCCAUGGAGCCUCUUAGCCCACUAUAUAAGUUAUGGAUGAUUUACAUAAUCAACCCAUAUAUUUAAUUAGUUAUCUUUUGAUCACUUAAUUAAUUCUAAAAUUAAUUCUUGACCAAACUAAUUAAAUAAUAUUAUUAAUAUAUUAGAGCUAAUAAUAUAUUAAUAAACCAGAAGUGUUAAUUCUCUCAUUUAGUCUAUCCAAUUGCAUGGUGCCAUGCAACCCAAAUGGACCAUGNCAUGCCGGGUUGUGUCAAGUACAUACCAGAAAUAGUGAUGGACUUAGACACCUUAUCCAACAGUCUCCCACUUGGAUAAGUCUAAUAACUAUAACUGCAAGUAUGACUUCAGGAACCAAUUGGCAAUCGUAGCUUUUUUCAAGGUUUCUCGGAACUGAGAAGAUGAUGGUAUGCUAUUUAAGAUAAGGGAUCAUAUAAUCCUCUGUUCUAGAUAUCAGCCGGACAAAUACAUGGAACAAUGUCUUACUUAUUGUCCAGCAGUUUGUUUCCCGAUUUCUGAUUUUUUUGCCAAAGAACUCAAUUGAACACAUCAACUUAGUUCUGAUCGGGCCCGGUACAUAGGUCAAAACAAAAUCAUCGAGGGGCCCAGAUAUCAGCUUCUAAUCCAAGAAGGAACAGAUAAACUUCGACUCAUAUGUUUGUUCUACUACUUAUUGAAUUAUACACAAAAGCACGUUUUAUAACAUCGAGUUACCAAUGCGUUUUCGUACAAUCAAUGCAUAACCAACUUGUAAGUAACAAAUCAUAUCUCUAGGUUUGAAGACUUAUAUGAUAUUACCGUCUCACGAUCACUCGAGAUAAAAUUCCAUGAAGUGAUUCCAGUGAGCGUGGGUUGAGUCCAAUGCUCAGAACUUAUGAGCACUCAUGAUUGUUGUAGCCUUGUCCAACACCUUAGACCUCUGCAACCAAUCAUGACAGUCUUGAUUCAUACCUACUUCNAUAGUAAACGAUUGACAAAAGAUAGUAACACUUUACUCAUAAAUAAACACAACUUUUAUUCAUCAUCAAAUGUCAAUUACAUUUUACAAAUUUCAAAAUUAUCUAACUACUAAAACUAAUCUCAUCCUUCAGCCCUAUGCUCCUAGCAUGCUGGAGAUGCUUAACCCUACCCAGUCCCUUCGUGAGGGGAUCUGCCGGGUUCUCAUCCGAUGAUACUCUCUUUGCCACGAGAAGUCCUUCUUCAAUACGAUGUCUGAUGAAAUGAUAUUUUCUGUCAAUGUGUCUGGAUCUCCCAUGAUCCCUUGGUUCCUUUGCUAAGGCAACUGCACUUUCACUGUCACAGAACAUCUCUAUAGGCUCCGAUAUAGCUGGUACAACUCCAAGGUCUCCAAUGAAGUUCUUUAGCCACAUAGCCUCUUUUGCCACUUCGCUUGCCGCUAUAUACUCUGGUUCGCAAGUUGAAUCAGCCACUGUCUCCUGCUUGGAACUUUUUUUCCAAGAGCUUGCUCCUCCAUUUAAGGUAAAGACCCAGCCCGACUAAGAGCGGAAAUUAUCCCUAUCAGUCUGGAAGCUAGCAUCACUAUACCCUACAACUCUCAAGUCAUCGCUCCCACCGAGGGUAAGGACCCAGUCCUUAGUCCUCCACAGGUACUUGAGAAUGUUCUUUACCGCUGUCCAGUGAGCCUUACUAGGAUUCCCCUGAUACCUGCUAACCAUGCUUAAAGAAAAGGCUACAUCAGGACGAGUACAUGUCAUAGCAAUCAUGAUCGAGCCUACUGCCGAAGCAUAAGGUAUCAGACUCAUUUCUGCUAUCUCAUCCUCAGUACUCGGGCUCUGAGUCUUACUCAGUCUACUGUUACUCUGGAUGGGUAACUCUCCUUUCAUGGAAUCUUGCAUGCUGAAUCUCUUCAGCACCUUAUCCAUGUAUGUACUCUGACUAAGUCCAAUUAGUCUUUUACUCCGGUUUCUCAAGAUCCUUAUCCCUAGAAUAUAGGCAGCUUCUCCUCGGUCCUUCAUAGCAAAACACAUCCCAAGCCGGGACUUAACUUCCUGCAGAGUUGGGACGUCAUUUCCUAUGAGUAGUAUGUCAUCCACAUAUAGUACAAAAAAUCUAACUAUACUCCCACUAGCCUUGACAUAUACACAAGAUUCAUCUUCGCUCCUAGAGAAGACAAACUCUUUGACUUUCUUAUCAAAGCAAAGAUUCCAUCUGUGAGGUGCUUGCUUUAAUCCAUAAAUGGAUUUCUCAAGCUUACACACUCUAUUAGGUAAAUCUGUGCUGACAAAACCCUCUGGCUGAUUCAUGUAAACCUUCUUAGCCAACUUUUCAUUAUGGAAAGCGGUUUUGACAUCCAUUUGCCAUAUUUCAUAAUCAUGAAAUGCAGCUGUGGCUAACAAUACCCUAAUAGACUUAAUCUUGGCUACUGGAGAAAAGCUUUCAUCAUAAUCCACUCCAGGAGUUUGAGAGAAGCCCUCUGCUACCAGUCGAGCCUCAUAAGUGUGUACGUUACCAUCCAUGUCGGUCUUCUUCUUGAAGAUCCAUUUGCACCCUACAGUCUUACGACCUGGUACAUUCUUAACCAAGUUCCAGACCUGAUUGUCAUACAUGGAUUGUAUCUCGGUAUCCAUUUCCUCUUUCCAUUUAGCAGACUCAGGGCCUGCCAUGGCUUCCGCAUAGCUGUUAGGUUCACCUAGACCUACUAGUGUCACAUCACUAAUAAGUGUCUCACCCUACGCAGUAAUAUGAAAGCCAUAGUAAUGCUCAGGUACAUUCCUAACCCUUGUGGAACGCCUCAGAGGUACAACUGGAGGUAUAAUCGGAUCAACAAGAGGUUCCUCUUCAAGUUGACUGCUAGGGUUUGAGGUUCCUUCACCACUUGACUCUUGAAGUUCUUCAAGGUCAAUUAGCCUCCCACUGUCUCCUUGGAUUAUGAACACUCUCUCUCUCUCUCUCUCUCGAAAGACAACCCUCCUUGCUACAAAGGCCACAUUCUCACUAGGUCUGUAGAAAAGGUAACCAAAGGAUUUUGAUGGGUAGCCGAUGAAAAUACACUUCUCGCUCCGAGGUUCGAGCUUGUCGUGAGUCUCGCGUCUCACAAAAGCCUCGCAACCCCAAACUUUGAUAUGGGCUAGACUAGGAAUUUUUCCAGUCCACAUCUCGUGAGGUGUUUUGGCAACCUUCUUUGUAGGGACAAGAUUAAGGAUAUGGGUGGAAGUCUUUAAGGCAUACCCACAAAAUGCGAUUGGUAGCGUAGCUUGACUCAUCAUGGAACGAACCAUGUCCAACAAGGUUCGAUUAUGCCUCUCAGCUACACCAUUCAACUGUGGUGUCCUGGGAGGUGUCAAUUGUGAGACAAUCCCACAUUCCCUCAGAUAAUCGAGGAACUCAGUACUAAGAUACUCACCACCUCGAUCAGAUCGAAGCAUCUUAAUGUUCCUGCUCAAUUGAUUCUCGACUUCCUAUUUAAACUCUUUAAACCUUUCAAAAUAAAGUCUCUGACUUAUGCUUGAUUAAGUAGACAUAUCCAUAUCUACUAUAAUCAUCCGUAAAAGUCACGUAAUAACGAUUAGCAUCCCUUGUGGCAUGUUUGAAGGGUCCACACACAUCCGUGUGUACAAGAUCCAACAAACCUUCACCCCUCUCACACGAACCAGUGAAGGGUGACUUUGUCAUUUUUCCAAGCAAGCAUGACUUGAACUAUCAUCUGGCCUUAGGUCAAAUGACUCCAAGACUCUAUCCUUUUGGAGUUGGCAUAUGCGUUUCUUGCUUAGAUGCCCAAGACAACAAUGCCAUAAUGAUCCUUUAUCCAAGUUAUUACUAUUAGAAGAAUCAAUACACAAUACAUUAUUUCCUAAGUUAUCUACAACAGACACAACUUCAUACACACCAUCACAAGGUAAUGCUUUAAAAUAAAACACAUUAUUAAAGAAAGCAUUUAUUCCACCAGUUUCAUUAUCAAAAGAAAAGGUAAAACCUUGUUUAUACAAAGCAUGAAGGGAAAUAACAUUUCUUGCCAUUUCUGGCGAGUAACAACAUUUAUUCAAAUCUAAAGUAAAUCCACCACUAAGCAAAAAAGUAUAAACUCCAAUCUUGGUGACAGGUGAAACUUUCCUAUUCCCCAUGAUCAAGUUUAUCUUUCCAUGCUCCACAUUCUCACUUCUUCUAAGUCCCUGCAUUUCAGAACAAAUAAGAAUACCGCAACUGGUAUCAAGGACCCAAGAGUUAGAAUAGAGUGAAUUAUUAGAUGAGAUUGUGUAAAUACCUGCAUAGUUGGGUUUGACUUUCCCAUCCUUCAAAUCUUGCUGGUACUUUGGGCAGUUACGCUUCCAGUGCGCCUUUUCGUGGCAGUAGAAGCAUUCAGCCUCUUUGGGAUCAGAACAAGGUGUAACGAAACCUUUCUUGGUUCCGCUAGAAAAGGAGCCAUCAAGGGUCUUACCCUUGGUACCCUUCGAAGGGUUCUUUCUCUUGUUCCUUCUACCUUUCCCGAUUGCCAGGACAGGUGCUAAGUGUGGAGUAGUAGCAGGAGUGGUCACAACCGACUUGCCUUUAAGACCUGAUUCGGUGGUCUUUAGGAGUCCCUGAAGUUUGCUCAGUGUAACUUCCUCCUUAUUCAUGUGGUAUGUCAUGCGGAAUUGAUCAUAACACGAAGGUAAGGAGUGCAAAAUAAUAUCUAUUGCUAACUCCUCAGGGAAGUUCACAUUCAACUUCAUCAAUCGAUCCACAUACCUUUGCAUUUUCUGCAUGUGGCUUGUGAUGGGUUCACCAUCUUUCAUUCGGGUUGUGAUCAUAGAGGAGAUGAUUUCAUAUCGCUCUUGACGAGCACUCUGAUGGUAGCGGUCCAUCAAAUCCUGGUGCAUCUCAAAAGGAUAGUAGUCCUCAUAGGACUUUUGGAGCUCGACUGUCAUGGUGGCCAUCAUGAUACAUGCCACUUUGGUAGCAUCUCUUUCAUGUGCCUCAUAUUCAGCAAACUCCUCAGGAGUAGUAGUUGGCUCAGGCACCUUGAGCUCCUUGUCAAGAACAUAUUCCUUGUUCUCGUAACGAGUGACCAUCCUGAUGUUUCUGAUCCAGUCAGUAAAGUUGGAUCCAUCAAAGAUGACUCUCCCACAAAGGUUCAUGAGAGAGAAGGAGCCAGUAGGGUUUGAGCCAGGAGUAGCAUUGUUGGAAGACAUCUGAAAAGAAGAAAAUAAGUUUAGUUUAGAUAUAGGGAUAGUCCUUAAUAAAACACCCAAAUGUAAUAUUAAGGCUAGGAUCCAAUCACAAUAUAUUAUAACCUAGAAGAGGGAUGUCGUAAUCCAAGUUAUAACAUAUUUGAAAGGUAGGUGAAUGACGAUUCACCAAUUUCCACCAUGAAAACGAAAUAUUAAUUAUUAGGUUUUUAUUUGGAUUUUAGAGAUUCCUAGAUUCUUUGAGAUUCAUUGAACUUUUCAAUUCCAUGUUUCAAUCUCGAGUGUGCCCUUCAAGUUUUGUGACUGGGAUACCGAGGAUCACAAAACAAGGUGUGAAGUAACCAUGCAAAUUACUUGGUACCCUUAAUGUUUUUCACUUAAUCGUUGUGCCGGUAAACCACACGCGCUCCUUCCGACCUCAUGAAAAACCUUAAGUCACCCUUUGCCUUCCUUGUUAAGUCCAAGUUAGUGUGCCGGUAAACCACACACGCUCCACCAACGACUUAAACAAGGUGCAAAGUGUAAUUUCAUGGAUUAGCACCUUAUUCACAUUUUUCCUAAAGUAACUAAGAUUGGGAAUUUAUAAAACAUUUAGUUACUUUAUAAUAAUCAUUAUACUUUUAAUGAGAAUUUNNNNNNNNNNNNNNNNNNNNNNNNNNNNNNNNNNNNNNNNNNNNNNNNNNNNNNNNNNNNNNNNNNNNNNNNNNNNNNNNNNNNNNNNNNNNNNNNNNNNNNNNNNNNNNNNNNNNNNNNNNNNNNNNNNNNNNNNNNNNNNNNNNNNNNNNNNNNNNNNNNNNNNNNNNNNNNNNNNNNNNNNNNNNNNNNNNNNNNNNNNNNNNNNNNNNNNNNNNNNNNNNNNNNNNNNNNNNNNNNNNNNNNNNNNNNNNNNNNNNNNNNNNNNNNNNNNNNNNNNNAUAUAUAUAUAAUUAUUAAAUCAUAAUAAUAUAAGUAUAAGGGUAGAAUUUUAACUUUUAAAAAUCUAUGGGUUGGAACUAAAGUUUUUAAUAUGACUUUACUUGUUCCAAAACAUGAGUUCAAGUUUUGUAAACAUUCAAAACUUUUCAUUUCUUGUAACUUAUGAGUUAAAUAGAGUAAUAAAAAUGAAGACUCUUCAUUUUUCUAACUCUUGUGUUCUUUUAAUGGUUUUAAUUUAAGGAUGACUCUUGGAUUUCCAUAACUUGAGGACAAGUUAUGGACUCCAUUAAAACACAUUAUGAUCAAGAAUUAAACUACCAAGUAGGUUACAAGUAAUUCCUAUGAUCAUCUAAAUUCAUAAGAUCAAGAACAUGAAUAUCCAUAUCAAAGUUUCAAGACCAUAUGAACACAUAUAAUCAUGAAAAAUUGAUAUUUGCCAUUGUAAAUGGAUUAGAACAAACAUUACACCAUCUAAAACAAGUUUAAUAACACCAAAACAGUUUAGGGUAAUGUUUCUAGUCCAUUUCCAGCAGCAAAGGUCGAAAAUCUGCACUCUGUCGCUCCUACUCGCCGAGUGCAUGAACCUACUCGGCGAGUAGGUUGAAGAUACAAGUGAACUCGGCGAGUCCCCCCAUGGACUCGGCGAGUUCAUCAGGCAGACAACAAGUUUUUUGACUUUUUUCAACUUUUUAGCACAAAUAACAAACAAACAAGCCUAGGCUCUGAUACCACUGAUGGGUUUUGAGCAUUCUAACACUUCCUAAGUGUACAUGCAACCCUAAUAACCUUGGAUCUAUGUUUGUCUAAUUAUCAUGCAAAGUUGAUUUCCAAGGCUAUGAUCCUAUCUAGCAUACAUGGCGAACAACUUUAACAUAAAUAAUAGAUAGAACUACAUACCUUGCUGUUGUAAAUGUUCCUUGAAACCUUGUGAGCCUAGCACCCCAAGUGUGAUGCCUCAAAUGCUUCACACAACACCAAAUGCUAUGGAGUAAACUUUGAGAGAAUGUAUAACACACUAAAAUCGGCCAAGCCCUCUUGUCUCUCUAGUAGUCCCAAUUUUGGGAGAACACAUGACGUUUAUAUAGUGUUGACACAUCUAGGGUUACACCAUGUAAACCCUAAUGUGUCAUGACUCUUCAUUUCCAUGACCCAUAGGUUUGUAACUCCUAUGGAGACUCCAUGGAGCAUCCAAUCGGUUUAACCUAACAUGAUUAUCCAUGGAGCCUCUUAGCCCAGUAUAUAUGUUAUGGAUGAUUUACAUAAUCAACCCAUAUAUUUAAUUAGUUAUCUUUUGAUCACUUAAUUAAUUCUAAAAUUAAUUCUUGACCAAACUAAUUAAAUAAUAUUAUUAAUAUAUUAGAGCUUAUAAUAUAUUAAUAAACCAUAUGUGUUAAUUCUCUCAUUUAUUCUAUCCAAUUGCAUGGUGCCAUGCAACCCAAAUGGACCAUGCUGGGUCGGGUGAAGGACAUACCAAAAAUAGUUAUGGACUUAGAAACCUUAUCCAACAGUAAGACCUACUGUUAGGUCGAUUUUCCAUGAACUUAUUACAUCAGUAAUACCAGUAUAAUUGACAACUACCUAAUCUGUGGGAAAAAUCUAUACGCUUGAGUUUUCCUAUUAAUCUUCCUUGUUGUGAUCUCAUACACUCAUUCAACUGUUGGGCUAUGGUUAGUUAGUCCAUGUGUCACUCUCACCCCACUUUCAAUUGAUUCUUACCAUUUUUUUUUAUCUUCAGAAACUUAUAGCUGAAAGAUGCCUCCUCGCAAAUCUCCCAGGAAUAACCCUACACCUCCACCACCUCCUCCUCAUAUUAUCGAUACUGCAGCCCUGAAUGCUGCCGUAGCUGCAGCAGNAACAGUGGAAACUGUCAUGGCACAGUAUCACUCUACUGAUGCCAGCAGAGGUGGAACCCCUAUUAACUCUAUUGCUGCUGAAAUCCUUGUGCGCUCGAGAGAGUGCUCCUACAAGGAUUUCACUAAAUGCAAGCCGAACUCCUUUCAGGGAACCGACGGAGUCAUUGCCCUCUCACAACGGUUUGAGAAGACGGAAUCCGUCUUCGAAAUUUGUUCAUGACCUGCUGCGAGCAAAGUCAAAUAUGCCGCAUGCACCUUUGAAGGAACAGCCCUGACGUGGUGGAAAGGCCACGUUAAAGCGCUAACUCUAGUAGUGGCGAAUGACAUGGGUUGGGAAACCAUGAAGGACCUCAUGAUUGAGGAAUACUGCCCGAGGGGCGAAAUCCAGAAAUUGGAGCACGAGCUUUGGAGCCUAACCAUGAAAGGCACCAACGUAUAGACCGCCAGAUUCAGCGAACUGGUGGCCCUCUGCCCCAAUAUGGUUCCCACUAAAGGGAAAAAGAUCGAAAGGUACAUAUGGGGGCUAGUGGCUCCGUAUCAGGUGAAUGUUCUAUCAUCAAACCCUGCUACCUUCGACAGUGCCAAGUGACUGGCACAGCGACUCAUUGACCAUGGAGUCAAAACCCCUAUAACAACAACAACCCUAGCCAUCCCAGAACCCUCCAAACCCGUUGACACCAAGCAGAAGUUCUGGGAGGAGAACAAGAAACAGCGAGCUGCCAAAAAGCAGCAAAUUAUGCCAAUGCAUGCCGCAAUAACCCAUGCUGCUGCUACUGCUCCGGUGGGGCAGUAUGCUGGAAAUUUGCCUAUGUGCGGAAAAUGCAAUUACCACCACAACGACCCCUGCCGUGAAAUGCAGUGCACUAACUGCAACAGGAAAGGACACACAGUCUGUUUCUGUAAAUCUCCGGCGAGGCCGAUUACCCAAGUCCCCGGCUCUGGCGUGAGCCAGACCUAUUAUGGAUGUGGCGAGGCAGGCCACUAUAAGAGGGACUGCCCCAAAGCGAAGAAUGCUGGCGGAGCAGGGAGGGUACUAGCAAUAGGCCAUGGGGAAGCAGUUGCUAACCCGACAGUGGUGACCGGUACGUUCCUCCUCGAUAACUCCUAUGCAUGCAUUAUGUUCGAUAGUGGAGCGGAGUGAAGCUUCGUGAACCAUAAAUUUGCUCGCAUGCUUAAACAACAACCACACACACUUAAAGAACUAUUCACAGUAAAAAUGGCUAAUGGAAAAACUGAAAGCACGGAUAGCAUAUACUUAGGAUCUACCCUAACUCUAGAUAUCCAUUCAUUCCCAAUCGACCUUAUGCCAGUCUCGAUUAAAAGCUUCGACGUUAUCAUCGGCANUCAUCGGCAUGGAUUGGUUGAGUCUUCAUCGCGCCGACAUCAUGUGCUAUGAGAAAGCAGUCCGUCUAAACCUCCCGACUAACGAAACCCUUGUCGUUUACGGCGACAAACUCGGUGCGAGUCUAUGUAUUAUAUCAAGUAUUCAAGCACAGAAGUAUCUACGUAAAGAAUACGAUGCAUUCCUUGCUCACGUUGUCGAUACGAGCCUCGAAACGAAAGAACUAAAGAACAUUCUAGUAGUGAGUGACUUUCCCGAUAGCUUCCUAGAAGAGCUACCAGGAUUACCUCUGCAACGACAGGUCGAGUUCAGAAUCGACUUAGUCCCAGGAGCUACCCCAGUAGCCAAGUCGCCCUACCGAUUAGCACCAGCAGAGAUGCAGGAACUAUCCGGUCAACUUAACGAACUGCUCAACAAGGGCUUUAUAAGAUCAAGUUUCUGACCUUGGGGAGCACCAGUCUUAUUCGUUAAGAAGAAAGACGGAUCAUUCCAUAUGUGUAUCGACUAUAGAGAACUCGACAAACUAACGGUCAAAAAUCAUUAUCCUUUGCCUCGCAUAGACGAUCUAUUUGACCAACUGCAAGGGGCGAACUACUUUUCCAAAAUUGAUCUAAGAUCCGGAUAUCACCAAUUAUGAGUGCUAGAGGAGGAUGUUCCGAAGACAGCCUUCCGAACUUGUUACGGACACUACGAGUUAGUGGUGAUGCCAUUCGGAUUGACCAAUGUGCCAGCAGUUUUCAUGGAUCUGAUGAAUAGAGUAUGCCGACCUUACUUGGAUCAGUUCGUCAUCGUCUUCAUCGAUGACAUCCUGAUCUACUCCCGAAGUAAGGAAGAGCAUGGCGAUCAUCUGCGACAAGUUCUAAGAACUUUACGAACGAAGAAGCUCUAUGCGAAGUUCUCGAAAUGUGAAUUUUGGAUCCGAAGAGUCGAAUUCUUAGGACACGUUGUAAGUGAAGAGGGAAUCCACGUGGACCCAUCCAAAAUUAAGGCCAUUGAGAACUGGUCAGCACCGAAGACGCCUACAUAAAUUCGUCAAUUUCUAGGUCUCGCUGGCUACUACCGCAGGUUCAUACAGAACUUCUCUCAAAUUGCGAAACCUCUUACAACACUGAGCCAGAAAGGUGUGGCCUUUGACUGGGAAGAGAAAUAAGAGAGAGCGUUCCAAACGCUCAACCGAGUUUUGUGCACCGCACCAAUACUAUCCCUCCCCGAAGGGAUAGAAGACUUCAUAGUCUAUUGCGAUGCAUCAAAUCAAGGGCUCGUUUGUGUUCUGAUGCAGCGAAGUAAGGUCAUCACAUACACCUCGAGACAUUGGAAAACACAUGAAGUUAACUACACGACCCACGAUCUUGAGCUAGGGGCAGUUGUGUUUUCUUUGAAGAUCUGGAGACAUUACUUGUAUGGAACGAAAAGCACUAUCUUUACCGACCACAAGAGUUUACAACACAUAUUCGAUCAGAAGGAGCUCAACAUGAGACAACGAUGGUGGGUCGAACUACUCAGUGACUACGAAUUCGAAAUUCGUUAUCAUCUGGGUAAAGCCAACGUAGUAGCAGACGCCCUAAGUCGUAAGGAAUAUUCUGGUUGAAGAGUCAAGUCGUUGAUAAUGACUAUCCAUUCACACUUGUCUAAUCAAAUUCAGGCAGCCCAGCUUGAAGCCAUGAAACCUGAAAACGUGACGAGUGAAUCCCUUAGAGGAAUGGAUAAAAAUUUAGAAGCCAAGGGUGGCGGAGCCUUAUAUUUGAUGAACCGGAUCUAGACACCGAGGCACAGUGGUUUCCGAGACUUGGUCAUGACCGACGCACACAACACUCGGUAUUCCGUCCACCCAGGUUCAGAUAAGAUGUAUCUGGAUCUUAAAAAGUUAUACCGGUGGCCUAAUAUGAAAGCAGAGAUUGCUACCUUCGUAAGUAAAUGCCUUACUUGCGCAAAGGUUAAGGUCGAGUACCAAAAGCCCUCCAGUUUACUACAACAACCAGAGAUUCCAGAAUGGAAGUGGGAGCGGAUCACUAUGGAUUUCAUAACCAUGUUACCCAAGACAACGGGUGGACUUGAUACCAUAUGGGUCAUCAUCGAUAGAUUGACCAAGUCUGCACACUUCCUGCCUAUCAAAGAAACUGACAAGAUGGAGAAGCUUACGAGAACAUACAUUAGGGAAAUCGUACGGCUACAACAUUCCCUAGGAACAAGGCUAGACAUGAGCACAACCUACCAUCCAUAGACCGAGGGACAAAGUGAGAGGACCAUCCAAACACUAGAAGAUAUGUUGAGAGCCUGUUUGAUUGACUUUGGAAAGGCAUGGUAUACUCAUUUGCCCCUUGUCGAGUUUUCCUACAAUAACAGUUAUCACACGAGCAUCAAGGCUGCUCCAUUUGAAGCCCUCUAUGGCCGAAAGUGCAAAUCCCCUCUGUGAUGGGCGGAAGUGGGUGAUACCUAAUUAGCUAGGGGGCAAGCUUCUGACAGUACUCUCACCAGCCCGGAAAUCAUUCGGGAAACGACAGAGAAGAUCGUUCAAACCCGUGAACGAUUGAAAGCCUCUAGAGACCGACAGAAGAGCUACGCUGAUAAGCGAAGGAAACCUUUGGAAUUCCAGGUGGGAGACCAAGUCCUUCUUAAAGUCUCACCCUGGAAGGGCUUGAUACACUUCGGUAAGCGUGGAAAGGUUAAUCUGAGAUAUAUAGGGCCCUUCGAGAUUCUCGCAAGAAUCGGCCCUAUAGCUUACAAACUCAAUCUACCCGACGAACUUCGUAACGUACAUUCUACAUUCCACGUAUCUAACUUGAAAAGGUGUUUGUCCGACGAGACUCUUGUAAUCCCGCUCGACAAGAUCGAGAUCAACGAGAGCCUCAACUUUGUGGAAGAACCAGUAGAGAUCAUGGACCGAGAAGUCAAGCAGACGAAGCAAAGCCAUAUCCCGAUAGUUAAGGUUCACUGGAACGCCAAGCGAGGACCGGAAAUCACUUGGGAGCUUGAGGAUCAGAUGAAACUGAAAUACCGUUAUCUUUUUGCUUCCAUCCUUGAGUGAUUUUAAGCUAGUAUUACAUUUGACCAUCAAGAAAUUAUGUCAAGAACACAAGGCUAGAGGUGUUCACGGUCCAAGGAGAUGCUUGGACCGUAAACAACAUAAAUGACACCAAAGUGUGCCUAAGCCUCUAAUCUAAGUCCUAGUUGAUGUAUAAACCAUCCUUGACAUGUUUAAACCUUUCCUUAUUGUGUUUAAACCUUGAAAAACAUCAAAAAAUCAACAAUUAUAGGUGUUUAUGGUUUGGGGAUCUCCCAAAACUGUAAACACCCCAGAGUGGGUUUAAGUUGGUCAUUUUCCCUCCUUAGACUUAGAACCUAGCUUAUACACUUACCUAGUAGUGUUAAGGACUUGAAAACAUGGCUAUACCCUUCUCCAUGAGGGUUUACGGUAGUAAACCCAAAGGGAAAAGUCAAUGAGACCGUAAACUCCUCCAAGGAGUGUUUUUGAGGUCCUAGUCC
rnacentral:lncRNA from 1 species